ACCUGCCAGGCCGCUCACAGUGAUAGAGCCCUCAAGUAGACUAAGAAGCUGUGUUGCCGAGGACCACGUCUGGCUCCAGCAGCUCAGAUGAGGAGGCGUCACGGUUCGGGGAGGCGUGUGACCCCACCCUGUGGAGGACGGCCACGCAGGGAGCCGCCAAGAAUGAAAUCUGCAGAGCGGAGGCAUCUGAUGAGAAGCCCCAGCCAAGGCGACCAGAGGCAGGCCUUCAUGCUGCUGGAGAAGAUGCACACAACCCUUGCCGGGGCGCAGGGCAAGGCAGGGUGUGUGGGGCUGAGGCACAAGGAUGGCCAUGGCCCCGGCAUACAGAGCAGGCCAUCGUCAGGCAGGGCAGAGGCCAGCACAGCGAGGGUGGCCAUGGCUGCCCCAUCCACACUCUCCCUUCCUGGCCAAGCAGCUCACCUCAAGACUGGACGGGAGUGUGGAGUACCAGGGUGACCAGGAGCACAGACUGACCAAGGAUGGCAGUGGUGAGGGUGGUGGUGCUGGUGGUGCUGGCCAGCCCCUCCAUCAUCCCCUCCGCCUCCUGACUAACCUGCCGCUCGCCCCUCAAGGCAUCACUAACCCCACACACGCAGCAGCCAGAAGGAGCAGGCCGGACAGAAUUCCCAGGACUCUCCUACUUUGGCGGCUGUGAUGUGUGACCAAGUGGUGUGUUGGUGCCUACCUCUGGCUGGCCGGCUGUUGUGACAGAAUUAUGAAGAGCAAGCAGACAGCUCUGAAAGAACGGGGACUUCUUCUUCUUCCACAAACAACUGCCGAUGAGAGAGUGAAGCGAUGAAUAACAGGGCACUGAAUAACAGGUAGCCACGCCCUGUAGAUUUUGUGUGACAUUUAUAAGAAGAACAUAAGAGCAUAAGAACAUAGGGAGACUGCAAGAGGCUGAAUGGCCUACACAGGGCUGCUCCAGAUUCCUCCCACUGCCACCUGUCAUCCUCGUCCAUGUAGCUAUCAAGUCUACUCAUAAAACAAGCUGUCAUCCCUGCACUCACUAGUAUGUGAUUGCUGAGUCUAUUCCAUUCCCCCAUCACCCUAUUACUAAACCAAGGCCUGCCUAUUUCCCUCCUAAUUCUAUACUUUUCUAAUUUAAAUCCAUUACUGUGUGUUCUAUCCUGGUGGCAGUGUGGGUUGCCUGCUGCCAGCACGUCAUCUGGGAGACACACUCGGGCGACAGUGAGAGGCUGAAGGCGCAGUGCAGGGC